GUUGAAGAGGGAUUUUUAAUUCCCCAUUAAGUCCUUUUAUUGGUCUUGUAUGGCCAGUGUACAAAACAGAUGGCUCCAGGAGUUUGACAAUAGACUACCAGAAUUAACAAUAUGAUUCCUUAAAUUGGUUCAGCUGUACUUGAUAUGGGGUAGGCUCCACAGGAAGGACAACAAGCCAAGGGGACAGCAAGUCACAAGGCUAAUUCCUUUAUUUCUAUACAAAUUUGGAUUCCAUCCAAAGAGAUCAUAAAUUGCAUUCAUUCUGAAGGAUUUUGGAGAAGAGAUUAAGUCUGGCUGAGCAUAGCAGUGAAAAUCAAAGGGCAAAAGAGAAAAUAACCUGUACCUUCUGACUCAGAAUUUGGAGGAAAGACCGUUUAAGGUAACUCUUCAAAAGAUUGGAAAAAAAAACCUUCAUGGAAAAGCAUACACUUGAGGGCUGUUUUUCAUGAAUGUGUAAUAGGAAUCAUGGGUGCUGCUCACUCACUUGAAAAAAGAAUGAAGAGAACACGACAAAAAUAAAGGAACCAGAUCAUCAAUAUUUCAACCUGCCAUCAUUUUAUAUGUAGAAGAAUAACUGAUUUCUACAAACUACAUCUUUAGAUCAUCUUCGAUAAAUAAAAGGCGAUUUGGAUAUGGAUAAGCACAGAGAAAAGACCACAGGAAGACAGAUGGAGAAGACAGCCAUUUCCAAGUCAAGGGGACACCCUAAGAAGCAAUGAACCUUGCUGACAUCCUGAUCUUGGACUUCUAACCUCCAGAAUUGAGAGGAAAUGAAUUUCUGUUGUUUAAUCCACCAAGGCUGUGAUGCUGUAUUAUGACAGCUCAAAAUGACUACUACAGUGGAGAAAGAGGCAACUUAUAUCCACAGGUAAGGUUAUUGUCCAUUUUAUUUUAUUUUAUUUUUGUCUUUUUAGGACCACACCUGUGGCAUAUGGAAGU